rnacentral:tRNA from 1 species
AAGUAUAGCUAAAGUUAUAGCAUUUCACUUACGUUGAAAAUAUUAGCCGGUUAGCGGCUUACUUUGAUA